rnacentral:rRNA from 1 species
UACGGAGGAUCCGAGCGUUAUCCGGAUUUAUUGGGUUUAAAGGGUGCGUAGGCGGGUUAUUAAGUCAGUGGUGAAAGUUUGACGCUCAACGUUAAAAUUGCCAUUGAUACUGAUAGUCUUGAGUACAGUUGAGGUAGGCGGAAUGUGGUGUGUAGCGGUGAAAUGCAUAGAUAUACCACAGAACACCGAUUGCGAAGGCAGCUUACUAAAGUGUAACUGACGCUGAUGCACGAAAGUGUGGGGAUCAAAC